GAGAGGAGAGGAAAGGAGGGGCAUCACAGACAAUAAUGCAGACACCUGCAUCUCACACAUCAGUUCAUUAAAGACUAUGAGGGUACCAUGCUCUGAUGAGCCACUGUGCUUUGAUAAGGCUAAGAACAGUAAACAAUAGCCAUUCAUAUGAGGGGUAAAUUAUGUUUCCAGCAUGAUACCAAUUCACUCUGUACAUUCAUUAUUUCAGACAACCCAUAUAUUAAUCAUAUAUUCUUUGACACCCUUCAUUUUGGAAGAGGACAAUGAGGUUUGGAGGUAAAAUCAUAGUUCUGGCUUCCAACUAGGGAUAGAGCCAAGGUUCCCACUGUUCAGCAUGAUGCCAUGUUCUCUUGGUCAUGCUUCUCACAAGCAGUUUCGCUCACGUGGAAUUUCCCCCUCCUUCCUGCUUCUUUUUCUUACAGGUGACAGGUUAGCCUUUAAGAUGCCUUAGGUCACCUCAGUCAGAAAGCAGAUACUUUUCAUUGGUCAUAGUUUCCUCUCCCCUCAGGAGUCUUAAACAAUAUAUCAUCUAUUCUGUCUACCAGGUUAUGAGCUCCUGGAACGCACAAACCAUGUCAUAUUCAUCCUUUCAAACCCAGUGCCCAGCACAGCAGCCACGAUACAAUUGAAACUUCAUAUGCAGUUUUAGAAUUAAUAGGAUUUUGAAUGAAACUUCAAUUCUCUCACCUGCUACGUGACCUCACAUUACAAAACUGAAAUAUCUCUGUCUUCAUUCUCUUGAAGCAUAAAAUAAGAAAAUUGGAUUACAUCAAAGGUUUCUCCAAAUGCAGUUUCUGCCUAGAAGCCGCACCAAGGGACUUGUUGGAAAUGUAAAUCCAGGGCUCCUGAAUCAGGAACUCCUGGGAAGAGACAUACUAUGUGGAGGAGUGUUCCAGUAAUGGAUUGAUUGAUGCAAGACAACAUUCAACAAACACUGACCACUGAGCUAACAAACAGACCUGAGGACCCACUGACCCCAUCCUACCCAAGGCCUGGUUUUAUAUAAGUCCCCACUAAAUGACAUAAAAGCAUGUGAAGUCCCUAUGUGAGUGGUCCAAUUGAUUGAUAGUGCAUAGCUAACAGGUGAAUAUGUAUUCCUCAUGGUCCACUUGCACCCUGUAAUGCAUUUUAGGUCUACUCUGCAAAUCUUGGUUUCCUGAAGUUAAAAGCAUCUUUGUGUUCCUCAAUCCUCUUCCUCUUCUACCUAGAACAAACCACUAUAGGAAAUUAUCUAUCUAGGAUUCCUACACAAAUUGCUUUGAAAUGGAGGUGGAAUGACUGGCCAGUAGUUGAGGGAUUUUGGUGCCCUACCACAGGACCGGAGUUCAGUUUCCAGUACCAAUGCAGCCUGUACCUCCAGCUGCAGGGGAUCCAGCACCUUCUUCUGACCUCCAAGAGUCCCUACACUCAUGUGCACAUACCCACAAAUGCACAUGAAUACAAUUUUAAAAAAUACUUACUGAGAUAAGAUAUAUAUCAACACAGCUGUCAUCACUUGGUCAUCACCUCUCAAGUUCUCCCUGCUGUGUUUAUUAUUGUUAUAGAUAUUGAAUGUAGAUUAAGAGCCUAAUACCACAUAAUUCUACUGAAGGACUAUUUAGUAUAUAACAGAACAUCAUUACCUCUAAUUGCUGUCCUAUGCAGUAGACUCUAGGAACCAUUUAUCUUGCAUAAAGUCAAAUUUGUACCUUCAAUUAAUGUCUUCCUUUUAUCAGCAGUCCUGGCCCCUGUCAACCAUCAUGUCCCUCUGUGAUUCUGCAAAUUUGGUUACUUUUUUUUCAUUUUGUUGCUGGAGUCAAGCAAUGUUCUACCUCAGCCCCUUAAGAGCCAAAACUAUGGCAUGAGCCACAAUGGCUGGCUGGAUUGUAGUGUUUUUGGUAUUCUAUAUCUAGACUAUGAGAACAUGCAGUGUUUGGAUUUCUCGUAAUAAAUACUAUGUGAUCAUGCAGUAUGUAUCUUUCUGUUUCUAGGUUAUUUCUCAAAGUAUAGCAUCUUCCAAUUCCAUCAGUGCUGUGAAAAAAUAGCAGAUGUCUUUUUUCAAAACUAAAUAAUAUCUGUUGUGUUUGUAUGGUCUACAAAAAUAUUUUCACUCAUUACAUUCAUUGCAAUAUUGUUUAAAAUACCUGAGGUCAUUUACCACAUACUUUUACAAUACAUACACAGACACACACCACAUAUACACAUACACACAUGCACAUACACAUAUACACAUACACACAUGCACACACACAUAUAUACAUGCACACACACACACACACACGCAUGCAUGCACACAUACACACACCCCAAUUGGUGAUUCUAUGUCCACACUGUUCUUGUAAUUCAUACCAAUCUGCAACUUAUUUUAUUUUUCUGCUAAUUAGAUAUGUGAGAUUUACUCCCUUUGACUCAUACAUUGGGUUUGAGUAGCUAGGACCUUGGAAUAGUAGUCUACUAAAUGGAUUCUCUACAAUUUACCUCUCUACUCAACCAUUUAUGAGUCCUUUCAUGAUUUCCAAUUUUUCACUAUGUUAAACAAUGUGUAUUGAACAUUGUUCUACACGUCUUCAUGGGUAUGCACGAUAAUUUACAUCAGAAAUCAUCUCUGCAUCUCUCCACAGCCCGUGCAUUUUUACUUAGAUAACUGUGUAUUUCUCUUCAUGUAGGUUGCACACCUCUACGGGAUCUAAUUCACAUCCCUAGUAGUGCUUGAUAUUAUUAAGCAGUGAUAUUUUCUCAGACUAACAUUGCUCACUGUUUCUUGGGGACUGUUUAGCAUGUGAACUUCACUCUACGCUCACAGCUUUGUACCUUUGUACUUGCUGUCCCAUUAUAUGUGGAAUAUUCUUAUUUUGCCACUUAAGAACGUCUGCUGGGUUUCCCCCCUUUAUGAUCUGAUCACUAAAUGCCUCCGAAUCUCUUAGUAGACCAUCUUACUCCUAGAUGCAUUUUGAUACUCUCUUAAGGGACUCUAAACCUAACUAGGAUAUAAUUUAUGUGAGGCAUUCUUUCUGAUUAUUUAUGCUUUCCUUUCUCACCCUCUUUGGAUAACAAAUCAAUGCUGACCUGAUGCUAACUCUACAGUAACUUCCUUUGCUUUCUUUUCCUUUUUCUUUUCUUUUUCUUCUUCUUUUUUUUUGUUUAUUGACAACUCAUGUUCACCCCUUUCUCCCCAUGCAAACCUGUCAUCUCCUAGACCAUUCAUCUCCUCAUCCAAAGUGCUUGACUUCCAGUGUUGCUUGGUUAUCACCAAUUUCAAGCCAGCCAGUGUUUUUCUUCCUGUAGGAAGGUUUACAAUCACUAACAUUUUAUUUUCUUCUCAUGGAACCUGAACUGACUCUGACCCAUAUCUUCCACACCAGGGGAUAACGAACGGAACCCCUUCUCUGCAAGAGCCUAUACUAUUUCCUUAUGAGCACCCUGCCAAGGGAAAGGCACUGCGUAAUCGUGACUGACAGAAGAGAAGGAAGCUGAUUACAAUUUUCACUUCAGGUUUUUAGUUGGGAGUUGAAUUUCAUGAGAUAAUUACAACAAGUCAUUGUGUUUCCAGCAUGAGAAUGUGGUGCAGAACCUUGUGGAAUAGAAGUGCUCAGGGAGCUAUCGAGCACACCCAUGCAUAAAAAGAAUUACACUUCAAGAAAGGUGCCUUGUAAAAUGAAAAUAAUAAUAAUAAUAAUAAAGUGAUAGUGAUAGUCUUUGGUUGCCAUGGAAAUAUGAACUCACCUUUCCUGAUAAGAAUUAUGGUUUUUUUUUCCACUGUAUUAGGCUUAAUAGAAAAAUGAUAUACUCUGUGACAUUUUUAACCAUGUAUGCAUUUUAAAGCAUUCACUGGGCUGCAGUGGCCAUGGAUUAGCAUAGAAUUAUGCACCUCAGUGUAUGCACUGGUAUGACCCACCAUCGGUUUUAGAAAGCAUGACAUUCAGUGUCUCCGAACUUAAUCCAUUUUAUCUGUAUAUGAGAGAUUAUAUAUGUUUGCUUGUAUGUGGCAACUCUUGCAUUUUUUCCAGAGUGAUUCCAAUGUAAUUCAGGUUCCUCUGCUAAAUCUGUUAUCCUGAAAAUGUGGUCUAGCUUACUGUAUCGUUUAAGACCACAAAAGAUCCAGGCAGCCACUAUUCUCAUUGUUUCUCUGCUUUCUUCCAAUGCGUUCUACCAUUUGACUUAAGAAUUGUUCAAGUUCGUACAAAAGGAAAGGCUCAGACAGUGACCCAGUGAGGGGUGAAUCCUGUUGUAGACUGGGCACAUGGCAGGACCAGGGAAUUGUCUGAGGCAUAAUACCUUGAGUCUUUAAAAUCUAGGAAAUAUUUCAAAUGUCAUAUAAUGGAGGGACAUGUUAUUUGUGAUUUUAUUGCCAUUCCCAGUAGAUAGUGAGGCAUGUUGCUGAGGAUACAUGGCUUGGUAAGUAUAGAAAUGCACUAUAGGGCUUCGUCAGGUAAAUGUUCUGAAGAGUUUGCGUAUUUAAGAGUUAGAUACAGUCAUUACCACUCCCAACCAAAAUACCAAUUUCUUCCCCUUGACCCAUGCCUUGGUAUGCACCCAUAUAUUUGAAUCACAGGAGAUAUGGUGGAGUCAAGUCACUUCCUUUGUUUCCAUUCACCAGCAGUUCCUCAAUUCCCAUAGGAGUGAAGCAAAGGGUUCCGUUUUUUGUUUGUUUUGUUUUGUUUUGUUUUGUUUUGUUUUGUUUUUUGACUGAAGCCCGUCUUAUGCUCUUGCUUCUCCACAGGCUGCUCCUUGGUCUGCUCUCUUUCUCAUUCCAUUCCAUUAAUGUUAGCAAACUGUUUUGCAACACAUCGUUAAGACUGAAAGGUCAGCGGGCUCCACUGCAUGAUCUUUAAAAGGUUGGUAAUGUCAAGACGAAUGCAGCCUCUUAAAUCUGUUUUUAAAGGCCAGAAUCAUCCAUGCAUUUUUGGAGGAGGAUAAUGACAUCAAAAUUAUUACCAAAACCCUGUCCCUGUGAUCAUUGGGGGCAACCAGGAUUUACUACUUAGUAGACAGAAACUUCUGCUGCCCAAGACCUGUGUAUCGGCUCUGGACGACUCGAUUUUAAGGGGAAAAGAGCAAGCCCUUCCUCUGCGCUCCAACAAAACUGUCUGCACUCCACACAAAUGAGCAGGUGACCCUACUUGACAUCAAAUCUCUAGACUUACCAACAAGUCUUUUUCUCUAAGAGUAUAAAUGUGUAGUACAAAAUAUAUACACAUUAUUUAUGACCUAAUUAAUUGUAGAAUAGAUCUGCUUUUUAAUUCAGUUAUCUUUUUUUUCACUUUUGUUUGUUUGUUUGGAUUUGAAAUGGCUGUGAAGUUGUGAGUAUUGAAAACUCAGGUUCAAGGUGACUGACAUUCCACUGAGACCUGUAUGAACACCUACUGGUCCUUGCUGGUCUCCUAAAGCAAGGAUAUGGUAUUUCGCAGUUAAUAAACAGCUAUAGACUUGGUAUGUUGAGCAACUUAGACAAUGCUAUGUGCUUAGGGACUGUUAUUUUUGUUUGGGAAUCAAACUCGGGUCCUUCCAUUUACUACCGAAGCACUCUACCACUGAGCUACAACCCCACCUGGUUUGGGAUUUUAAGAAACUCUGUGUCAAGUCUCUGCAGGAUUAUUGUCAAGUUCGGGUACUGUUUUAAAAUUUAAGCUAGCACUACUGCUUAAAAGCAUGACAUCAUGGAGAUAAUUCAGCCAGCAAAGGGGAAUAACAGUAGGUGCCAUAGAACAGACAGUGAAAGGGUGGGUGUCAGAAAGGAGAAUAAGAUUCUCUCUGUAUGGAGAAACAAUAGGGUUUAGAGGUGACUUGAAGACCAAUGCCAUUUUGACUUAAGUGCAUGGUGGUAGAAAAUCUCACGGUAAAGCAGAAUCCCCACCUAUCGUUGACUUCCUAACUCCACUCUGCUCUAAGCAGCCAAAAACCACUUUGGAUUUCUAAGGCUUUCCUUGACCUUCCCUGGGACAAAUUCACUCACAAAGAGGGUAAACUCACACUAGAUUCCAUACUUUUCAAAUUCAUAACCUCGGCCAGCUCAACAAAGAAAAAACCAAACAAACAAACAAAAAAAUGAUUAGUGUCCUCUCAGUUUAAAAUAUAAUUUUCUUUACAACACACACAUUUACUUAUAUAGCCAUAAAAAAGCUUAGAUAAAGUACUUCCUAGCCUGGUGUGUGGUUUCCUCUGCUUUUACUUAUUCUCAGCUCUACCUGUGCAGAUUCUACUCCUUCCUUCCCCGUGAACAUCUCCUGCCUCCUUAUCACAGCUUGAAAGCACCUGUCAAACCCAUUGUUUUGAAACAGAUGUCUAUCACAUGCUGCACAGGCUUGUAGUUUAUGUGUUUUUUACUUCCCUACAAUCAAAAAAUAUUUUAAAAUAAACGAGGAAUAGAAAGGUAUACAUACGUGAACAGAACGGGCAGUUCUCUGAUUAAAUCUAUUCCCACCAAGGUGCCUUAUCCAUUUGGCUCAAGUUCUCAUUAGAUUUUUUUAAAAUCACACUCUUUAAAAUGAAGUUUAUUUGAAGCAAAAGAGAAAAGUUCAAUUCUAGCGAAUGAGCCUCAGGAAAAUUUUUUUCUAUUCUCAGUAUUUUCUAGUACAAGCCACAAUGCGAAAUGUCCCUCCUAAAGUGUGUUCUUUCUCUUUGGAGACACUGUUUAUAAAUCACCCCAAUAUUCUAAGCCUCAAACACUGACACAGAGUCCUUCUUCAAACUCGAUGACAAUGAGUGACUUAGUUUUAUUCUCCCCCUGACACUAUUAGUUAUGAAGGACAAUGGAUCAAACCCAUGGCUAUGUCUUAUAUCACAGACAAACACAUACACACACACACACACACACACACACACACACACACACACACAAAUACAUACAUACACAUACAUAAACAAACCCAUCCUGUCUGGAGUUCUGGCUCCUUGAUGCAGAACAUAUCCAGUAUAAUCAGAGAAAGGUUCAGCAACUUAAUCACUUUAAAGUGUAUAAUACAUUUUAAAAGCAAUGAGUAUCUGGGCUGGGGAGAUGGCUAGAUAGUUCAGUGGUUAAAAUCUUUGGCUACUCCUGCCAAGGACCUGCAGUAGAUUUCUAGCAUACACACAGAAGCUCAUGACCUCCUGUGACUCCACUGUCAGAACUCUUCUGGCCACUGAGGGGUACUGCAUGCGUGUGGUGCACAUACAUAGGUAAAACACCUAUACACAUAAAAAUAAAUAACUAUAAACAAAUAUGUUUUGGAACAGCAAAGAUACCAAAUUGUCCUUACACACAUGCACACACAUGAGGGGAGGAAGAGACAAAGAGGCAAAAAGAGAUACGAGAAAGGGUGGGGGUCGUGGAGGGAGGGAGAGAGAGCUCUGUGACAUGCCUGGCCAUGAUCUCUGAUAUUCGCUGUCAUCCCCCUGACAAUAAUGACAAUUAUUUUCUUUCAUGAUCAUGUCUAUGAUCAUCAGCAUCUCUACCACAGUCAUCAUCAUUAUCACCAUCACCAUUACCAGAGCUCUGACUUAUUAAGCAAUAGCGAUGAACUAGAUGCUAUUCUAAGCACUUUGCAUAUUUAUAGUUUCCAAUCACUUCCAGCCUGUAGAUAAUUGUUCAUGAUUAUUGUCAUUUUAAGAAAGUUGGAAUUUAGAGACAGGAAGUCAUAUGCUUUAGCAAGAAGUCUAAGGAUCCUCUGUGGGUGAGGAAGAGGACGCAUGUCUUUUGUUGCUCCCUGUAAGUCUCAGUGACAGUGACACUGGCUCCUUCCUCUGCCUCUCUUUGGCUUGUUGUUUCUUUACCAUCUCUGAUCCCAGUUUAUAAUCUGGUAGCUCCUUCAGCAUUCAUGAGUUUGCUCUAAAACUCACAUUGGCCUAAUGCUCUUAAGAAACCUGGGCACUAAGACAUAAAGAGUUUUAAAUUCAAUUGAAUAGUCGUGCUAUUUAUUUUGGUAGAUCUGAGGAUUAAACUAAGGGCAUUGAGAAGGUAUUUAGCAGGCCCUUGACGCUAAGCCCUGAGCAAAGACACCAGACCUAAGAUUAUUACUUUCUUAUAUAAAUUUUACAUGUAAAAAUUAAAAAUAAAAAUAUGAAACAUUUCACUAAGUAAAAAUAUAAGCAUUGUGUUUUCAGUCCCUGACUGAGGAUGGUUAAAUCUUGGUAAUUAUCAGCUCUGAAGGGCUGUUCUCCUGUCUGUGGGGGAUGGGUUGUUAUCAGGAUGAUCCCUUUGCUGAAAAUAGCAUGCAUAAAAGAGUUUUAUAAUCGCUGGGAAAGGAUCAUAAAGCAGUAAGCUCACAAAGCCCUAAGCAGCCAUGAGCCUAGACAGAAGUUCUGUGCAGACUGCAGAGCUAAGUGAGUGAGACAAAGGCUAGAGUCUUCUCUGGUAAGUGUACAACCUUCAGAGCCAAGAAAAGCAUAACCCCGAACUAUGCUAAGGACAAGGAAGACCCCACCUAGAGCUAUCACAGCCUAACUGAACAGCGGCCAGGUAAAAAUGCAAGCUCAACAAGCAAAAAAAAGGCUCAUGAGUCUCAAAGAAAAAGAAAAUGGAAAUUAUGGAAGGAAGAGUAAGUGGAAUGAAAUUUUAUAAUAUAUAAUAUAUUUUAUUUCUUGAGAAUUUAAUAUCAUAAUGCAUUUUGAUCAUAUCCAACCCCUGUUUCCACCUCCCCCUUCUACCAGAGCCUCUCAGGUCUCUACAACUUCAUGUCCUCUUUAAAAAGAAAAAUAGUCCCAUCUGGGGAUUGGUGAAGAGUCAACAACUGGAGCAUGGGCAUCAUUUCUGAAGAAAAUGGACUCUUCCUUCUACCAUAGAUGGCCAUCAAUUGCCAAUAGCUCCUUGAGACUAGGGUGGAGCCUUGUGAGCCCCUCCCCCAAUCCAUGAUGGAAUGAAUGUCAACUGACCUGAUUUUGUAUAGGUCUCGGGCAGGCAACCACAAAUGCUGUACGUUUAGAAUCACAGAAAUCCUGGUAUGCUAUACCAGGCAAAACUACUAAUUAUAAAGGUACAGUAAAGGCAUUUUUAGAUAACAAACAAAUCGUGUGUGUGUGUUUGUAUGUGUGUGUGUGUGUGUGUAUGUGUGUGUGCGCGCGCGUGUGCUGGGGCAUAUUCACGCUCUCAUGUGUUUCCACUGUCCAUGUGUGUGUUUGGAAGCUACAUAUUGACAUAUUGAGUGUCACCCUGGAUCAUGUUACAUCUUAUAUGAAGCAGAUAUUCUCACUUGAAUCAGAGCUCAAAAAUUCAGCUAGUCCGGGUAACCAGCUUGUCCCAGGAAAUUGAGAUUGAAGUACAUGCAAAUUUAAAAUGCUUUUAUACCUUUGAAACAAUGACAUAAAAUGAGGGAAGGACACCAUUGGAAAUGAAGCAUGUUAGGAAUUUAAUACAUUCAGAAAGUGACAAAAAAAUGCUUCUUUGGAUGAAGUUUUGAGAAGCUAAGUGUUGUCUUUCUGCAGUAACAACUAAAAGAACAGCUGUGUCCAACUUUUACAAAAAGGUUUUUUGAAGACUGAACACAAAGUAUAUUACAUACACCACCAAAAUAGUUUGGUAGCAAACAAUUAGGUAUCAAGGCAGCAGCUAUUACUAAAGAUAAAAUUAUAACUUCAUAAAACAGUGGCUCUACUGGGAAAAGACAGUAGUUUUAACAUUGUACUCAUUUGAGGAUACGGUUUCAAAGUUAGAAAGGCAGAAACUGAGAAACCUAAAAGUGGAGUGUGCAAGAUAGGGAGACCAUAGCCGUUAACAACUCAAAAUUAAAUGUUUCAGAAGGCCGAAUAUCUAUUCUCCACAAGUGACAGUCCAUUGUUAAUACGCAACCAAAUUCUACCAGGAAACCCUUCAGUAUUAGAAAAUCGGACCAUGCUUUUAUAAUUAUGAAAUAGGUCUAACCUAUCCUGUUUCUAUUUGAAAUUUCUGGGUACUGAUGGGGACCUGUGUCUUGAUAUGGAACCUAGAUUUCAGGAGUAAGUGCGCAGUGGGACCAGCUUUCGUAAAUCCAUCAGACUGUGGAUAUGUGCUUACCAUCUGUGCAGUCCCCUGUAUUUACGCUAUAAACCAAUUUAAGCUGAGUUUACUAUGACGUAUAUGCCCUGAUGGUUUCCAGUAAGAAAAUCCUCAAAUUGCUUUCAUCUGCUCAAAGUUGUUUAUGGAAAUUGAAUGAUUAAGACAAAACAAAUUCCUUCCAGUAUGCAGAGUGGCCAAAACAGGGAGAAAAGGAGCCUUUUAAUAUGACAGCCCAAUCCAUAAAAAAAAAAAUAAUUUAGCAACUAAUCUUAAAACAAGUGGCUACACUGAUUUCUUAGAAAGGGGGGAUGAUGACCUUUGCAAGAAAUAUUACCUUCAUUAUUAAGGAGAUUAAUGGUAACAAGAAGAAUGAACCCUCAUUUUCAAAUCCACUAAAAUGCCUGAAUCUGAGGGUGGGAACUGGAAUUAGCUAUUUCUAACCAAUGCACUGUUUAUGGUGUGUUGACUAUCAUGACAGACCGUGAGAUGCACUGAGGAUGCAUAAUCUUCUACAUAGAUGUAAUCUUCAACAUAAUUAAAUACAGCUUAAACAAAAGGGGGGAAUGUGAAAUACAGUUUGUAAAAUAGUUGCUGGUGCUUCUCCAGAUGGUUAGCCUUCUCCUGUAGUGGUCAGCUUUUCUUUUUAGCUCCUCAUUACCUAGUGCAAAUCAGGCACUUCAGAGUCAGAAGGAGUUUCUUUAUCUUGAGAAGGGCUAACCCGGGGAUGUUCUACUUGGACAUGCUCUGAGAACACUUGUGUCCCAGUAUCUGAAAUCCCUAGACUGCUGAAAUGCUUAAUCUCAUGGCAAGGGAGGCUUCAAUGCUUCUCUCAGUAAAUGCUUUCUCCCACUGCCCUCCUCGAAAAUCUCACUUGCAAGUCUAUCGCAGUUUGACCUCAUCAAUCAAGUAUGCACCAGCUCUGGCAGACUCCAGUGUUAAAACAUCCAUUCUUCAUGCCCAAGGUCUCCGCUUGGUUUUAACAAGUUAACAUUUCAAGUUAUGCCAUGGUCCAAUUCCAUGCGGCUGGGACUGGCUCAUAAUAAGGUCAGUGAAGAAUAAAUGUCCUAUGUCUCAGGUUCUAGGCUUCAGAGGGUAUAUAAAAUUUGCACAGAUGUGUGCCCAUUUCUGGGAGAGAGUCUGUUAAGCAUCCUUUAGGUUUUCAGAGAUGCUCUGACACCAAGAGCUUGAGUACGGUGGCCAAGAAGAAAUAGCUGUUGAGAUGUAGAUUAUAAAAAUCUAAUCUCUGCUUAGUUAUCCAGACUAAUGAGAUGAAACCAACUUGUCAUGGUGUAUGACUUAAUGUGUUUAUGAAUUUGGGUUGCAAGUGUAUCAUAUCAGAAAUGUUUGUGUCUGUAUUUACUAAGGAUAUUGGUCUAGAGGUUUUUGGUCAACUUCUGUUCUGGCUUUGUCAUUGGCGUAAUAUUGCCUUCACACAAUGAUAUGAUUGACGUCUCUUCCUUUUCCAUUUUGUGAAAAAUUGAACCAAUGCUGUUAGCUCUUCUUUAAGGAGUUGGUAGAACUCGGCAGUGACUUGGUCUUGUCCUGUCAUUUUCUUUAGUUUGACUGAUUGCUGCUUCCUUCUCAUUGCUUGCUGUGGAUCUGUUCAACGUGUCUUCUCCUCUUGAUGUUGUACUGGUGGGUCAUAUCUAUCUAGAAAUUACUGGUUUUCUAAGUGGGUUUUCCAGGCGUAGGGAAUAGUAGUUCUCAAAAUACAUCCUAGUGAUCCUUUGGAUUUCACUAGAAUUUCUUUUUUUUUUUUGUCUAAUUUUAUUCAUCUGGAUCUCAUCUCUUUCUUUUGAGUAUUUGGCUAAUGGUUUGACAAUCCCAGUUGUUUUUAUCAUAACCGAUUCUCUGGUUCACUGUGUCUCCAAUGACUCUUUCAUUUUCCCUCUCUUUAUUUCCAAUGUGAAUCUUUGUCUGCUUUCAUUUGCUGCUAUGGGAUUCAGCUCAGUUUUAUUUUCUAAGACCUUAAAAGACGUCAUUAGGCUCUUUAUUUAACGUCUCACUGAUAUCUUUAAAUGUCAGCCCUCAUGGCUAUAAACCUUCACUUCACAUGGACUUUACUCCCAUACUUUGUUUUCACAAAUAAUUAACAAACAUGUAGGAUUGAAUGAAAAUUUGAAUGUUCUACAUUUCCUGGAGUAUUUUUCCACCAUAAGUAUGCAGGGGUAAAUGACAUCUAGAGACUUCUUUGUUUCUAAAUUUGAAUUGAGUGUGGAGCUUUACACAUGGCCAAUUGAUCUGAAGAUUCCUCUCACCAUUUGGAACUCUUUGUGCAGUAGGAGAAAGUGCCGUUUUCUAAGAAUAUAUACAUACACAUCUACACACACACACACACACACAUACACACAUACUUGCACACAUACUCACACAUAUGCUCAUGCACACACAGACACACACAAAUGCACACACAUACACACACACUUGCACACAUACUCACACAUAUGCUCAUGCACACACAGACACACACAAAUGCACACACAUAUACACACACUUGCACACAUACUCACACAUAUGCUCAUGCACACACAGACACACACAAAUGCACACACAUACACACACACUUGCACACAUACUCACACAUACACUUAUGUACACACAGACUCACACAAAUGCACACACACACACUUGCACACAUACUCACACAUAUGCUCAUGCACACACACUCUCUCUCUCUCUAUUUUUAUGCUCCACAACUCUAGAUUCAUAGAUGUAUAUUUAAAUUUUUUUGUAACUCACUUCUUCUUCUUUACAAAUUUCAGUUUCAUUGCCUAAAGAGAAGUUAAGUCCCAUUGGUCUGCUAGAACUCUUGAGAGAAUUAGAAGGUUUACAAGAAAGAGUACAAGCACUUGAUUUUUUUGUUUCUCAGUUUUCUCAUCUAUAAAACUGAGAUAGAGUCAUAGUUUUUAGGAGGGACUUCAGUGGAUUUCUUAGUUUUGUGUUUUACAAAUACUAAGAUACCUUUACUUUAGUAUGAAAUGGUUGUUGCUUCUUUCGUGGUGUGUCGGGGCUGGGAGAAAAAAAUGGCCGCCGAGUCAGAUGUCUUUUCUCUUUGUCUCCAUGGCUGUUGCUCACCUUUGGCACUGUGCGGUCUUAGCCUAUGCUCUACGUUGCACUAAAUUUGGUGUGUUUUGUAACUAUUUGUUGAAACAAAGUAUAGGAGUAAAGGCGAGGCAGUUCUGCCUUCUUGGCCAUGGAUAUCAUUAAACCCAAGUAGUAGGCGGCAAGGUGGUGAUCUGGGGGAGGUGCCAGUUUCCUUUUUAGGUGUUGUUGCUAUUCUCUGUGAUGAUGCAGGUAUCUCUCCAUCAGUACAUCCUUCUCUAGACAACCUCUCUUCUUCACAAACGGAUAGACCCUUCUCAUGGUACUCUGUGUGUCUUCAUGGCCCAUGCCACUUAAAACACAGGUCCUAUGCUCCAUUUUUACUGCGUGUCACCAAUUUUCCAUUAUAAAGUUGAAAAGUAGCUAUUUCACAGUACAGAUCAUUGAUAUAUGGUGAAGUCAAAAAGGAGGGGAAAUGUACUUUUGGCAAAUUAAAUAUAUUUUUCUCAUUUGCUUUAAUAAAGAAUCUCAUGUUUUAUAUAUUGGUUAAUAUAACUGCAUAGAAUUAUUUAUCAUUAUCUUCCUUUUAUGAUGGACUAGUCUACUUUAUCAUGAUUAUCUAUAAAAGAUUAAUGUCUAAGCCAUUGAGAAUGUAAUUUUUGAAAUUGCCCAAAGUAUUUGCAACAGUGAAUACUGUCAUGCUUGUGAAUGUGAAGACAAAAUGUUCUUAAGGUCAGAGAUGGUCCUUUGAAACCAGGAGAUAUUGUUGAUGUUUUAAAAAAUUGUCAUCAUCAUCAUCAUUAAUUCCAUGAUAAAUAAUCAUGAUAUCUGGCCAUAAGUAUACUGUAAAUGACAGCUAUAGAAUACAUUAUUAGAAGCAUGGGCAUCCUCUCUGUAGCCCUUAGCAAUCCUCUGCAAGGUCAGAAUUACCAAAGUCACAUUUCCCAUUAAACAUAGCAAAGCUUGGAAGGCCUAAGUGAUGUUUGUAGUUUAGUAGUGGGCCAACUGAGGAUAGGAAAUUAGAUCUCUAUGUUUCUGUUAUCGAAAGGAAGUGUCCCAUGACAGGGUGUCUAGGUUCUUUGUGCCUGAAACAAUGAGGUGGACAACGCAUAGUCUAUGAAAUAGUGAAAGUAUAGACUGUUGUGGUGGUGGUGGUUCCCAUUAAUUAAUUAAUUAUUAAUUGAUUUUACAUCUUAAUCACAGAUUCUCCUCCCUCCAUCCAAGUCCCUCUCUCUUCCACCCUCCCCUCCAUCCCCCGUCCCUUUUUUCUCAGAGACAAGGAGUCCUCCAAUGGAUGUCAACCUGCCGUGACUUAUCAAGUUGCAGUAGAACUAGAUGUAUCUUCUACUGAGGCUAGACAAGGCAGCCCAGUUAGGGGAAAGAGAUCCAAAGGAAGGCAAUAGAGUCAGAGACAGCCCCUGUUCCUGCUGUUAGGGGCUCCAUAUGAAGACCAAGCUAUACAUCUAUUACAUAUGUACAGUGGGCCUAGGUCCAUCCCAUGAAUGCUCUCUGAUUGGCUGUUCAGUAUUCCACUAAAAAUGAGGUGGGCCUAGGAGAAUCUCAUGGAAGAGGGAGAGGAAAGAUUGAAGGAGCCAGAAAGGUCAAGGACACUAUAAGAAAGGCUACCCAGCCUGGGCCUAUAGGAGCUCAAAGUAGGGAAGUUUUUUUUGUUUGUUUGUAUUUUGUUUUUUUUUUUAAGUGCAAAUAAAUGUAUAAGUUACAUACCACAGGAUGGGAGCAGGCUGAGCAAGGAUGUGACCUAAGACUUCCUACUUCUUUUUUUAAAAGUUCUUUUUAUGAGUUUAGGCAGAGAGAAGAGUCACUCUCUGGGUGGGAAUGGGAGCUGGAUUUUUACCUGAUUGGCACAUUGGCUAUUACAUAACUUUGAACAAUCCACAUGUGCCAGUGCAGUACAUCUGAUAUUAUUAAGCAAUUUACACUGUAUCAUACGUGCUCUUGAGAUGGUGAAUGUGGCUGUUUCUUCACAUAGUAAAGUGUAGGUCACUUCAGGGACAAAUUGAAGCUUCUACCUUUUCCAGAUUUAUGUGGCCUGUUUAUCUAACCAUCUAUUAUGAAGAGCUUGACCUCAAAUUACCCACCAGAAAUGCUGGGUGCUCCCUAUACAGACUGGGAAAACUUUUUUUUUUCCUGAAGGAAAUUUCUCUGAGUGCCUGGGCUCUUCAUACUUUAGCCCUAUUACUUGUGACUUUGUGAUAUUCAACUCACUCUAGGCUCUACUUAGCCAUUAUUCCCCCAGCAAAUGCACAGACACUUGUCUUGAUGCUUUGUCCAUUAGACUUAGCUAUUAAUAACAUGCCUUAUAUCAGAAUGAAUUUACAACUUUGUAUUUAGGACACUGCAUCAGCUUUGGUGAAUCUAACUGAGGCUGUACUUGCUUGGAUUUUUCUAAAAUUAAAAUGGAUUAAUAAGCACAUCUUAAAUAAAACAAAAACUUUCCAGAUAUGUUAACAUAUUAAUUUAAAUAUGAGUUUUGCAUCAUAAUUUUUUUCUUAUCUCCCUAAACUUUGGCAUCCCAAAAUGAUAAAUGUAAAAGAGAAAUUCUCUUAUAAGUUGUAAUGGGUCGUUGCCUUAGAGGGCAUGAGAAGCUUGAGGAUUGUGCAGGAAAUGCUACAAAAUCAAAAUCAAGGGAUUGUCUAUCACUAGAUAGAAUACAAUAUUGGGUGCUUAUGGAACAUCUAUAUAUGUGAUCUCAUUUUUGCUUUAUGCAGGUUUCAUUUGUUUUACAAAACAGGGUUUCUGUGUGCAACCCUGGCUGUCCUAGAAUUCACUCUGUAGAUCAUGCUUGCCUGGAAGUCAGUUAUCUGCCUGCUGUUGUGGUUUGCCCUGCUGCCUAGUCACAUACUCAGGAAUCAGGUGACUCCACCAGAGCCUCCCCAUUGAAUUUGUAAAGUACAGGUGAAGGGCAGGUACAGGAUAGAAGAAGGCCUGUCAUUGGAGAAGAAGGAAGGAUGGGCCGGAGAGAAGUUUGAAGGAAGAGGAGGAGACUAGAGGAGAAGGAGAGUCAGGAAAGAGGAGAGGGGGAGAAGCCAUGGCAGGUGAUGUUAAGAUUCUGCUCUGUGUAUUUACAGGUUGUUAUUAAUGUUCCUAAGGGAUGGAUGGUACCGGGCUUAGUAUGUUUAAGUGGGCAAUUAUAUCUUACCAAUUGAGUCAAAGAUUAUUGUGUUGUGUGUUCUUUUAUGUGAGGGUUUGAGUGUAGGAAAGUGUGCGACUGGGAUGUGUUUCCGCCAAGAUAUCUAGCAGAUAUCUUGGGGAACCACGGUGCAGACCUAGCAGGGUAAAAGACAACUACUCUCUUUUAUUUUUAUAUUUUUACAACAACAGCCUGCCUCUGCCUCCUGGAUGCUGGGGUUAAAAGAUGGGUACUCAUGCUUGGCCUAUGCAUGUGCUUUUGAAACUAUAGAACAGCUUUUUUUUUAACAUCCUGAUGGACAAAAGGCUUAAUGAAGCAGUGAAUAAUCAUUGGCUACCAGUAAAUUCUAGGAGAGGAACAAUAAUUGUUUUCAGUUGUAUACCUACUGAGGAGCCCACAAGGCUCCAAUGGAUGCUUCCAAACCCCACAGUAACACAAAUGAUCCAAUUUAAUUCAAUGAAUCUCAACACACACACACACACACACACACACACACACACACAUAUGUAAGAAAGAACAUUAUUGAGGAGAUAAUAAAGAGUGAGAAGAUAGGGAGACUCAGGAUUACAGUUAUCAGAAUGAAUACAGUACAUGUGUCAUAUGGAUUUUUUCAAAGAAUAGCCAAUAAAAGUUAUUUAAAAUGUUUAAUUUGUUUUUAUAUUAAUUUAGUAAACACUUAUAAUCUGCUUUGCUAUGUAUAUGCAUACCACAAUAUUGAAUUGGUUCUGGCAUACAAGAGUGUUAUACUUUUCCUCUGAAAGGAAAAUUGUGUUAAAGUCACUGUUAUAUAAUUAAAAAAAAAAAAGCUGGUCACUGGUGGCACCCACCUUUAAACCCAGCACUCAGGAUGCAGAGGCAGGCAGAUCUCUGAGUUUGAGGGCAGCCUAGUCUACAGAGUGAGUUCCAGGCCAGCCAGAGAUACACAGAAAGUGUCUGUCUAGAAAAUAUAUAUACACACACAUACACAUGUAUGUAACUAUUAAUAUAAUAUAUAUUAUUUAUUAUAUAUAAUAAACAAGAUAAUAUAAUAUAUAGUAACUUGCAUAAAUAGUAUUUAAAUUCAAAGAGGAUGGAAUUAAUUUCUAAUUAUAAAAACAAAGAAGGCAUUAAACUAGAGGGUUGCUGAUUCUUGGAGAAGUGAACUGCUGGUUCUUAGUGACUGAGGUAGGCUGAUGAUGCCAAUGGAUGACUGAAACAUUUUUGGCCAUCGUAUCUAUGGAACGGCUGUUGACCCUUCUGUGUGAAACACUGGAACAAGCACAUAAAUACUUCCUGUCUUCCUCGUCUGCUAUAGCUCAUAGCGUAACGUUCAAGGUCAAGGGUCAUGGAGUCAGGGUAAAGAAGGUGCAAGGUAGAAGCAUGCUGCAUAUUCAGGAGGUCCCCUUCCUAGGGGAAGGCAAGCAGGAACACGAAUCUAAGGAAGCAGGAACACGAAGUAAACUCACCCCCAGAAAGCCAUGGCAUUCACGUUUAAAUUUAGCUGCGUCAUUAUUGUAGUUUAGCAAAUUCGAAGAGCUAUUGUGCAUGUAAGGUCUACGUGGCACUUGAGACUGGGAUUAUCUUUCAAAAUUUUCAUUAAGUGAAAAGGAGGUACUGAAGGGUGAGAAGCUCAGUAAUAUCUGCUUCUGGUUUCUAGUCAAGAUGACACUGUAAAUUCAUAUUUUAAGCCCCUUUUCUGCUUCAGACACACUGCAAUUGCAAAAAAAUAUGAAAAGUGAAAUUCAAAGGGCUUACACAGAGCACUUCUCUAAAUUAUUAACAUACUUACUUAACCAAUGUGUAAAUUAUUUAGUGUCUUACCCUGUUCCCAUAAAAGACAAGUAUGCAUUAGAUAUUUCUGUGCCCUGACUCCCUGGGAAUUAUUGUGUAUCACUUUAUCUCUUCAAUAAAAUAAUAAUUUUAUAAUAUUUUCAUCUCCUUAUAGAUUCAGAGUAUUCUCAUUUUAAACUGUUUUGAUUUUCAUCUCUGAAUUUGGUUCAAUUCAUGGUAUAUUCAGUUCUUAACCAUUGAUUUUGUUGACUUUCUUUGGAACUGCCAGAAAGAAACAGGAGUGAAAUUAGGGGGAAAAAACAUGCAGGAGAUGGACAAUAAAACCAAAAGCGGCUGUGUGCAAAGCAAAUCAGAUUGUGUUUUUUUUUUUAAAAACAGAAGCUGUAGUGAUGAAUGGAUGAAGCUACACAAACAGUAUGUGUAAUAUAGCUGUAUUCACUGUGGAGAGAACAGAGCAAGUUGAUCCUGUUUUGAUGCAUGAUUUAAGCCAAAACAUUAAACUUUGGAGGAUGAAUAAUUUCUUAGAAAAAUAUAAAUGAUGAUUCCAUUGUCUUAAAAAAGAGUUUGAUAAUCAAAAAUGCACCAAAAAAAAACUGUUACAGAAAUAUCUUGUUAUAAAGCAUUUAUUGAAAUGGACUUAACCGAUAAUAACCUAUGUGUAACACAAGCUCUUUGAAAAUCAUUGAAACAUAAUGAAUAUUGCUAAAUUGACUUUAUGGGGUUGCUCUACUGUUGACAUCAACUGAGAUUAAAACAAGGGAAAGAAGAGCAAGCAAUCCUAUGAAGACUAUGUAUGUGACUCUUAAAUGAACUAUCAGUAAAUUAAAUGAAUGAGAAAUGGGCAGGGUUGAUGAAAUGGGCCUUUCACUGUUUGCAUUUUUCUCACAUAAAGGUUGGAUCAAAGACAAUUAACAUUUAACAGUUUAGCAGUUUGUUAGAUCUGGUGGCAGUACAUAAUAUUUUCAUAUCGUUUAUUUAUUUGUGCAGUGUUGUUAUUGUAGGUUUUUUUUAAAAAAUAGUCUUCAGUCACCCCCAGUUCAUUUUUUGCUUCAACUCGUUGGGACUAAGAGACAGAAUAGAAUACACUGAGAAUCUCAAUGUCAUCAUUACUUUCAUGGGGACCACUCCUAAGUUUUGCCUACAUAGAGCAUCAGGUUUAGGUGGAAGGCAAAAAGGAUCAACUGUCAGUUCUUUCUGCAAUGACAGAGAUGAUGUUCUCUCAUCAUUCUGCUAUAAGUCAAAGAUUCUGGAGUACAUGCCCCUCUGCACAUUCUUUUCUUUGGUCCUCUCCUUAUUUUAAAGUUGACCAUGAACGAUAAGUCUAACAUCAGCUCUCAAAUCCAAGACAUUAUGUAUAUAGCAUGGAAACUUUGUCCAUUGUGGAAAAUUAACCUUCCCUACCUCAUUGGCCAAUGUAUUCCCAUACCAUAAUACUAAAAGUCAGUCUGUUUCAUGAUAUGCCCUUUCCUAGGCUGUUAUUCUCUCGUGUGUCUAGGGAGUACGCCUAAGUAGAACUAAGAGAUUACUUUAUUUUAAAAUGGUUUCUCCUAAACCAAGUGUUUGUGAGGAUAUAAAAGAAUUUUCAGGGAACGUUUACCAUUGCCAUGUCAGCCGAAUGAUCUACGCCUAUAUACUCCUGCUACCCAAUACUUGGGAAAUCUAAUACAGAAUUGUCCCUCAAGGAAGAGUCCUUGACAGCUACUGUCUCAACCAGCUAAAGUGCUUCUAGUCCAGAUGAAACAUGCAUAAUGUGGACCAUUAGCAAAGUUCCCUACAGAGCCAAAGUGUUUGGUGACUAGGCUGACUCGGAAGCAAAGCCUGGAAAUCAUAGUGAACUAGUAAGGAAUCCAGUCCCCUGGUGAGCAUCUCUAAUGAUGUUUCUCUCUCUUUUAUCUGUGAGCCUUGUGUAUCGCUAAGAGAAUCCUUUUCUGCUUAGCCUUCUCACUGGUUAGCGAAUUCUUUUCCAGGGGCUAAUGCCUAAUAUAGAUAAAAAAUGAAGGUCGCAGUGAGCUCACAGUCAACACUACAACCACAGUGUACAGAUAUAACAAAGUGUGGCAUUUCGGCCAUAGAUCUUAAUUUUGUUUGAUAAAUGAUUGUGUUAGAGUAUUUGUAGAAUUCUGACAAACCAACUGUAUUUUUCUUGUGCUUUGGUAUAUUUUAUGGGAGAGAUGGCCUACUAGAGAGGCACCCUGGAGUUAUCAUAGUCUAGGUUAUAAUAGUCUUAGCUACAUGCUUCAGAAUAACUGAUUGGCAUGCUAUAGAAAUAAAACACAUUUAUGAAUUUGAAACUGCAUUUUUUAGCCUUUAGUUUGCUUUAUAAGUAAACAUAAGGAUUUGAGUGUGAACAAUAAAAAUCUUGCCUUGACCUGACUUUGGGAUAUCUAUAAAGAAUUAACAAAUUUCGUUAGAAAUUAUAUUGAGUGGAAGAGAUCUCGUGGGGUCCCAUCUACUAACAAGAACUAGAGACUACUAUGAAAAGCUAAAAGCAAGAGAAAUAGCCUUUCCCACGGAUAAGCCAGAUUGGUUCUCUAAUACAAUGAGCAGCUGUGAGAUUGAAUAUACACAAAUAAUACUAAACAGACUGAGCAGUUUGUAUUUAUAUAUUUAAAUGGUGUGUGUGUGUAUGUGUGUGUGUGUGUAUGUGUGUACAAUAACAACUAAAGAAUUAGCCAUACUUUUGAGGGAGGCCAAGGGAGGUACAUGAAGAGGAGUAGGAAGAAAGAAAGGGAAGAUGAAAAUGAUAUAAAUGUAUUUUUUAAUUAAAUUUAUAUUAAUAUGUCUUAAAAUUAAAAUAAAGUAAAAAUACAUAAAAAUAAUUUAGUGUUUUAAUCAUUUUAUACUGAAAGAAAGUCUUUAUUAUCGAAUGUGUCUAUAUAUCUAUAAUUUGUCUAUCAUAUUGUUGGAUAAAAACUACUUGUCAACUUAAAAAUUACAUAAUCAUUUUUAUAGACUGCUAUAAUAGUAAUAUAAGUUGGUAGUGUAUUGCUUAAUCUAAAAUUUAUGCAUUUAUUCCAGAUCUUGAAUGUCACAUUAUUUUGUAACUAUGUUAUUAUCUGAGGUAAAGAAUGGCUGGGCUAAGAAUCUAUGUUGCCAACUUCUAAGAAAAUACUUGUAUGCAUCCCUUCCCCAGCUUGAUAUAAAUUACAGUUUGGGUGGGAUCAGCAAGAUAUUGCAUUUACUUCAGAAAUAUACAACAGACUUUGUUAUUAGCUGAGAAAUUUUGUUGUUUUGAUUCCUAAAUAGAUUAUGUUGUUUUCUUCUUGUCUUUUGGGUUGAGUUUCAGUUAAGAAAUGAUGCAAUGAGAAAUUUGUUUCAUUAACUCUUAAAUACAUGUGUGCAUAUAAGUAUAUAAAUUGCAUUACUUGUGAUUGACUGCUAAAGGAUAACAUAGGGAAAUUAUAUACUUAUCAGGGGGAUUUAUUCUAGUGCUGAAAAACAAGAUAUUAAAUUAUACCGUGAGAACAAGCAUAAUUCAAUGAAUUUUUAUGAUCUGUAGAGAUGGGCAAAUUGCAUUGCAAAUGAUAAAUGAGCUUUCAACAUCAAGAUCUACAAAUAAAUCAUCAUAAGUAGAUAUUUUGAUUUAUUAAUAUAACUGAGAAGCAGCCCCUUGGGAUGUGCCUGUUAUUUUCAGUGGUUGUCCUGGUUGAAGACAGCUAACUUAUUUAUGUGCAGUGUUGUGUUGGAUAUUUUUUCCCCUUAUAAGCAAGUACUCUGAAUAUUUUUAGGAAAUGGUUCAUCCCCUUUGAAAGAAGCUUCCUUGCCAUGAAAGUGAGAAUAGCUGUUAAUUUGAUUUGCUCAGGACCCAAACACAUUUAAAAGUUGAUAAAACUCAACUGGGUAGUUAGGGGGCCGUUCUCUGCUGUUUGCUCUAAAAACACCAUUGCACUCGCCUAUAUUUACUUUUCUUAAAGUGGUGUUUUCUUAGACACUCAAGUUGCCAAGUUUCAUCAUAAAUCCCUCUGUCUUGUCUCCUACACUGAUACUAUUGAAAGGAUAUAGAAUAAUGAACAUUCAUGUGUUUUCUUCAUUGGCUUAUAUAUAAACGUACAAUAUAUAAAUUGAUACCCAACCCCAAGAAGAGAAAGCUUUUAUCUACUAAGUCUUUAAAUCAGAUAGUAGCUGAAGGCUUGUAGGUUAAAAAUAAUGCCAGAGCUUCGGGAUAGACUAAACACAGCAUAGUUGCUGCCUUCAAGGUCCCACUGCAGUACACUUAAUAAAUGUGCUGACUGGCUAUGAUGCAUUCUUGAUUGAGAAUAUUAAGGUCAUGCAUGGCUGUUGGAGAGGUAGCAAUACUAGAGAGACUCCUUGCAAGACCAUGGUUCUACCCAUAGUGAAAAAGGUAGCAGAGAAAAGUCCCAGGAGGAGUUGGUGCUUAAGUUGACUUGAGAGACAUAUAGGACAGAAUGUUGAUCCUCAUCCUUAGGUGAAAGGCAGUCUAUUAGAAAUGGAUGAGGACAUCGGUAUGCUAGAAAGUAUAGCAUAUCCCCUAAAGAGUAAAAUUGGAGCAUCUUGACAUCAAGAAAGACUAAGAACUUAUCCCCAACUGACAACUAUUCACCAUAUGGGAGUAGAACUUGGUAUACAAGCCACACUCACAGGCAGGUCCUAUGACCAGCAGUAGAUGUCCCGUAUGAAAUGACUCUGGUAUUCUGGUAUUUUUUGAGGGAUUUUUGUCUCAUAAUGUUUCAUCUUGGCAUUUUAUAUUUAAACUUACAGCUUGUUUUACUUAUAUAAUAUGGUUUCCAAUUUUGGUUUGAUAGCCCCCCCCCUCUGUGUGUGUGUGUGUGUGUGUGUGUGUGUGUGUGUGUGUGUGUGUGUGUCUCAGUUUGUAUGUGUUUCUAGAGUUUUUCUUUGGCUUUUUUUUCUGUUUGUUUUGUUCUAUUCUGGUUGGUUGGUUGCUUGGUUAGUAGGUUGGUUGGUUUGUUGAUUGGUUUAGUUACCUGUGUGUUUUUUUUUUUUUUUUUGGUUCUUUUUUUCGGAGCUGGGGACCGAACUCAGGGCCUUGCGCUUCCUAGGUAAGCGCUCUACCACUGAGCUAAAUCCCCAGCCCCACCUGUGUGUUUUUUUAGUAAAUGAUAGAGAGAAGGGCCAUGGAUUUGGGUGGUUGGGAGUUAGAGAAAAUCUGGGGAGAGUGCAGGGAGGGUAAACUAUGACCAGAAUAUUUCCUAUGAAAAAGUCUAUUUUUGGUAAAAACUAAAAUUAUUAAAAAAUAAUAAGGAAACACAUAGAAGGAAGGAAGGAAGGAAGGAAGGAAGGAAGGAAGGAAGGAAGGAAGGAAAGAAAGAAAAACAAGGCACCGAGAAACAAUAACCCUAAUUUAGGGAAACCUCUCUCCUCGUCUCCAAAGGAUUCAUAAUCCUGCAUAUACCUGUUGCUUCCACAGUUAACAAAGAGAAUACGUGUUUAAGAUUAAAGCUGCAGCCAGUCAAAGAAUUAAAUUUCAAAUUUAGAACUUUCUACUUGUGAGACCUUAUCUUAAAUAUUUAGCUUCAGUGUUCUCAAAUAUUACAGGACAAGAGUAACAAGGAUUAGGUAAUGAGAAAGAGAGUACAGAGUUAUCAUAAUUUUGAUGAGAGGACAUGGAGACACGAGUGGUGUCUUACACAACAAAGAUGCCUAAUCAAUAACUUUCUUUUUUCCUAAUUUAAAAGUCUUCACACUCCAUUGAUGGAUCUAAAUAAGAUUAGAAAUGCAAAUAUUAGCAAACACAUGUAUUAUAUAUAUUUUAGUGUUUAUUGUGUUGAACUAAUCAAGAGUAAUAUAAAGUUUCAUCAAAUAUUUAUAUAUAAGAAACAUCAUGUAAUCUAGAACCUCAGCAUGCUAUUGCCAUCACCAUUACCCAAUAAGAAGAGUGCUCAGACUCAUCCAGUAAAUUGCUCCAUGUUUUACAUGAACAGAAAUUCUACCCUAAACAUUUUGACCAUAGAGAGCCAUAAAUAAUAUAGAAACUAAAAUAUUUUUUCAGGAAGAGUAGUUUUGAAUAGUCAGUUACAAAAUACUGACAGAACCAGGCUCCCUCAUGGUCUAUUCUCAUACAAGUUUUCUAAGAAAAUAAAACAAAUCCAUCCUCUGAAACUUGCGUUCAUCCGGUUGGAGCACUAUAGCGGAAACCUACCAACAUGUGAGUUACAACAGUGGGACUGUAUUUUGUCCUUAUCUCAACCCAAUGGAAAGAACAGGUGGCCAGCUCCCUUCUUUCCUUCUAAAUUUUAUGCAAAAUAUUUUUCAUAUUUCAUAUCGAUAUGGAACUCUGAAAUAAAAAAACGUCUAAAAAUAAUCUUUAGCAGAGCUAAAUCAUCAUGAUACGUAUCUUCUAGUUUUAGUAAAGCCAAAGGUCUAUUUUCUUUUUUUUUUUUUCCGGAGCUGGGGACAGGACCCAGGGCCUUGUGCUUGCUAGGCAAGUGCUCUACCACUGAGCUAAAUCCCCAACCCCUAAAGUUCUAUUUUCUAACUCAGCACAGCAUUAGCUUUUCCUACAGUGCUUUGUUGUCUAUGACUUUCUUCCUUUGUCAGCAAAAAUAAAGCCCUCCCUAUGGAGUGACUGCACAUAGACGUACAUGAUGUACCCCGAAGAAACCACGGAAUUUAAAACGAUACUACCUUAUUUUUAUUUAUUUAUUUAUUUAUUUAUUUAUUUACUUACUUACUUACUUACUUACUUACUUACUUACUUACUUAUUUCUGUCUUUCUCUGCCUAUUUAUGGCACAAGAAAACAUAAUUUAAAAGAAAGGUAAAGCUCCAAAAGAAAAGAAACAGAUUGUCAUUCUAUCAUGACAAGUAUCACCAAUUUGGGACCAUCUAUUAUUUUGGAUUAUCCACUCCAUUGGUUCUCACUACUCGUAAGUAUAAUAGGGAGUCAGUAACAAUUUCAACAGAACCAUCUAGAAACUAACUUUAGCUCUAGUCUCCUGGAAGAAAUGCGCUAUCCCAUAUGGCAGAGAGACGGGAGAAAGGAUUGUGAGACACAUUUGAUUACCUUCAGUUUAUGGCCUGUCUGAUACCACUAGAUGGCUGCUGAGAAGUAUUCUGUGACUCAUAUAAGUUGAUUAACACCAGACUCAUGCUGAUAAGGUGAAAUUAAGCCACAGAGCGCGAUUUUUAAUGCCAGCUUCUUUUCCUACAGAUUGUCACAUAAUAGAAAAUACUUGAAAAAUAUGCACAGUAAAAAGAGGUACUGAUAAGAGUUGAGAAUUGCAUCUUUUACUUGAUAACAGAAUAAAAGUGGGAAAAGUUCAUCAGAGGAAGAUGAGUUAGUGUUAUAAUUUUAGGAGGCUGGCAUUGUAUAGAAUAAAGAAUUCCCAGAGACAAGAUUAAAUGAACAAAAGUUAAAUGUUUUUAUCCUUGACCAACUCAUGCAAUGAAGAAUUGAAAGAGAGCAGAUAUCUGUUUCCCAUCAUUUUCUGGCUAUUGUUUCUCUCAUCUCAAAGUAUCUAUAGCACCUGCAACUGAAACAUAUAAUUGAGGCUAAAAUUAUUUCACCAUUUCUAUUGUUCCCUCAUUUUCUCCUAUUACACGACAUUUUAAUCUUGUUCACCAAGAUGUAGGACGCAGGUGGCCUGAAGCUUAUAACUGCGUUUUAUAUUUUUUUCCCGACAUCUAAUGUGAUGGAGAAAUACUUUGCUCAUUGAACAGAGAGUUGGGUAUGAAGUCUCAAUCUUCAUUAGGCAAAGGAUAAGUAAAUACAGCUGAAAAAUCUUUAUUAGUUAUUUAUAUAAAAGCUCUAUCAGAUAUUGAUUUGAGACUCUACUACAGGAGCAAAUUGAGCUUGUAACACCUUCCCAAUAUGGUCAGUUCAGGACCACCUAUUUUCUACCUUGGCAGAUAAAACGAUAAUUUACUCCAGUUCAUAUUUCCAAUUGAUGACCAUAAUUUCUAUAUACUAAUAGAAAUACUCUGUGGUUCCCUGAGAUUGACACUAGAGGCUUCCAUGGCCAGAUCAGUUUAAUUUCCUUCUAUCAUGAUAGCCCAUCCCCCACUGGCAGAAGAAUGUCCUUGAUGAGUACUAUGGAAAUUCUCCUCUUUGCUGUUUACUGAGACUUUUUUUUCUCCAUUAUUGAACUUCCCAUCAUGGCUUCUCUACCCACAGACUCAAAAGUAAUGGUCCAACUGACCAUGAACUGAAACCACUGAGGAUAUGAGGUAAAUAAAACUUUUCUCUUUAAAAGUUGUUCUCUUGGGGUUGGGGAUUUAGCUCAGUGGUAGAGCGCUUGCCUAGCGAGUGCAAGGCCCUGGGUUCGGUCCCCAGCUCUGGAAAAAAAAGAAAAAAAAGUUGUUCUUUUGAUCACUUGUGCAGUAAUGGAGUACGAACUACUGUAGCUAUCCUGAAUGAGAUCUUCACCAGUAAUUAAUCUCUCUGGAUUCUAGAGCAAAACUCUUACAAGCUGGCUAUCUAGCAUCUACCUUAUUCUUUAAGUUAUUCAGAAUGUUGCCAUAAUAAUAAUGGGCCACUUUGUCUUCAAGACAUACUUAGUGGCUCUUGCUCUGUCGCAAGCCAAUGCCUACUAUGCAUGAAUGAAAUAAACAAAACUAGUCUCAAUUAUUGUAAUGGCUAAAACUUGUGCAAGGAAGAUGGCAAAAUGUCAAUGAAGUUUUAAUAGUAAGUUGGGAAAGGCACUCUGAAGGAAAGGGAACAGAUUCUAAAGGAAUGAUGGGAACCAUCUGGGUACACAACCAAGAGAGAUCUCUUAAGAAGCACCAGACUUUAAAGAAAACUGGGAAACCAUCAUACAGAAUGACUGAAAAUGAGGAUGUUUAACAUGUGAUAUAACUUCUGUCCCUUGGAAACCCUAUGCUGCAUAUGUUGUCUUUGAAAAAUUUGCAUAUGCUGCCUGACCAAUGUGUUUGCUCUUCCAUGGGGAGAACUAUAGCUAUUGUUCUCAUACCCAUUCAGCAUGUCUUAUACCCAUAAGGAAUGGAGGUCUUGUGAGCUUUCCUUCAUCUCUGUUUAUUGGUACAAUUCUUGUUCAUGUCAUGCUUAGGCAACCAUGUUGGUAAGACUAUAUGGGGGUAGCUGAUGGCAUUUCUAGGAAAGACAACCUCACAGCAAACUUCAAGUUCCUCUGAAUCCCACAAUCUCUCUAUCUCCUUUUCCACAAUGAUCUCUGAAACAUAAAUUUUUGGGUAUGUUUAUAAAAUUUUGCAUAUGUUUAGGCAAAAGUUGUAUGUGGUGUAUAUGUAUAUGUUAUGUAUAUAUAUAUAUAUAUGUACAUAUAUAUAUCAUAUAUAUGUGUGAAAUCAGUUGAUAUUAGGCUCCAUAACUCAAAGUGAUUGGUUGAGGGUUUUUCUAUUGCAAAGAGAUGUUUUAUUGUACUUAUCCUAAAAUGAUCAAGUUGUAUUUUCAGAAAUGAAUGUCUGUAACAACAACAAUUAAAAAAAGGAUCCCACGAACUUGAAAGAGAGUAAAAGGGGUUACAUGGGAGUCUUUUGAAGGAGGAAAUGUGAGGAGGAAUGAUACAGUUAUACUAUAAUUUUAAAUAUCUGUAUAUAUUUCUGAAAGUUAUCUUGCCAUUUUAACUAUAUAUAAUUGCCUUGUACCUAGUUCUAGUGUGGUCUUCAACUGUUGUUUAAAAGUCAAGGUUUUGUCUCAUUCUAUAAAGUAUCUUUUUUGUGUACUUGUGUUUGUCCAUGUGUGAGUUUGUAAAUGGGUGCAGUGAACGUCACAGAGGCUAGGAGUAGACCUUGGAUCUCGUGGAUAUCAAAUUAGAGACGGUUGCAUAGCUUCUGGGACUUGAACUCAACUGUAAUCCAUGGAACACGACUCAUGCUCUUAACUACUAAGAGAUCUCUCUAGAUUUAAAUUUAGGCUCUUUUUGUGGAAUAUCCCGCAUUGCCGAGUAGACACUUAGACACCUGGUAGCCCUUUGGAGUAUGGAGUUCUAAAAAGGCCAAAUGAUAUAAUUUGUUUUCUAAUCUACUUGAUGAAAAUACUGGUGAGAAAAAUAAAUUUGGGAAGAAAAAAAUUUAUCCUUGGCAUAGAAAAGGACACGCUUUAAGCUUCAGGCAGGAUAAAGAACAUGCUGUGUUUACAGAAGCAAGAGAAGUCAGUGGCCCUGUGGACAUCUCUAAUCCAAUGCCAUGUUUUAAGCAAUGCUGCUCAAAAUAAUAAUUUGGAGGGGAACAUCUGUAUUGACUAAAGACUUGUUAUAGUUAUCUAUAUUGGAGGUAUUAACAGAGCAAUUCACUGGGAAUAAGAAGAAACACCAACAGUGUAUCUAAACAGCGACCACCAUCGGUUAUAAAAAAAUAUGAAAGUCAAUUGAAUAUGACUUUGAAGUGUUGAGGUCUAGGUGGUGGUAACACUAUGAACAAAAACACAGGAAGUGAUCUGUUCUUCUGUGGGCUCCUAAAGCACACAGCUGAUCUGAAAUAGGGACACUCACUUGCACAUUUGCUUCUGUUGAUUGAUAGGCUUCCCAAGGACAAAAUAAAGCCUUGUUUAUCCCUGGAUUCCCAGCAUAACUGGCAAGGCACAUUUGAGGAGCUCAGUAAAUAGUAAGCACUAUUAUUAUUAUUAGGCUUUCAAUAGUUGUGUUUUGGAGAAUGCACGAAUGACACCCUUUUGACAGUGUAAUGGUGAGUUCUGAGGACUCCAGAGAGAAAGAUGAGAAAUUGAUUGAGACAAAUGGCUUUGCCUCUUUAGGUGAAUUCAUUUCAAGAAGAAGAAAAGUGACAGCUCCUGAGGGAAGACUAAAUACAAUAUGUGAGGGACACAAUAGCUGACCCAGUUUGGCUCCACUGCUAAAAGGCAGCCAUGGGAAAGGCUUGAAAGCAAGAAUAACACAGGAAAUGAGUUCUGAAAAUCUAGCUAUCUCAGUUGAGUCAUCUUUAGUCCUGAAGAAACAGAGAACCUUCGCACAAAGAACACAUCACUGUCUCAGAUAUAAUAAAAGUUCUGGGAUGAACCCCAGCUACACUUCUCUCCAUUUACAUUCUCUUUGUUAGAUCCAAUUCACUUUAUUUAGAGAAUGAGCUUGAAUGUAAAUUUUAUGAAAACUUUUAUUUGCCAUGUUGAGUAAUAAGAAAAUUGUGAUGGUUGAACAAUAUUUUCUCCUAUUGAUCAAAUUUCAAUUACUUGGUUAAAUCAUUAUUUGCAUAUAGUUUUAAUACACAGGCACUGGAAUGGAAUUCUUAACUGAGAAUUCAACAUUUGUGUUUCAAGCAUUCUACUUCUGCAUAUUUUUUACUUAUUUCUAAUAAGUGAAGCACAACAUAAAAGCAAUUAACAAUUUAAUUAAAGAAUGAUGCUUUUCUAAUAAUCCAAGUACUGGGUAUUGAGCUUUAUUUUCCUCUUCUCAUUGUUUCCUAUAUAUUAAGCAUUUUAUGAGAUUGAGAGCUAAGAAAUAAAAUUUGUUACAUGGUUUCA